rnacentral:tRNA from 1 species
GGCCUGUUAGCUCAAGGGAGAGAGCACGCGGUUGCGGACCGCAGGAUCCAGGUUCGACUCCUGGGCGGGCUUCCA